GUUUACGGCCAUACCACCUUGAGUGCGUCCGAUCUCGGAAGCUAAGCAGGGUCAGGCUCGGUUAGUACUUGGAUGGGAGACCGCCUGGGAAUACCGGGUGCUGUAAGCU
rnacentral:rRNA from 1 species